rnacentral:rRNA from 1 species
UACGUAGGGUGCAAGCGUUGUCCGGAAUUAUUGGGCGUAAAGAGCUCGUAGGCGGUCUGUCGCGUCGGCUGUGAAAACUCGGGGCUCAACUCCGAGCUUGCAGUCGAUACUGCCGUGACUAGAGUUCGGUAGGGGAGUGUGGAAUUCCUGGUGGAGCGGUGAAAUGCGCAGAUAUCAGGAGGAACACCCGUAGCGAAGGCGGCACUCUGGGCCGAUACUGACACUGAGGAGCGAAAGCGUGGGGAGCGAACAGG